AGCAAUGCAAUGGAGACGCACCCCAAACGACCCAGUGGAAAUCAGCCUUUGUUGACCAAAUGCUGCAUAAAAUGGUUCUGCACAAGAUCGCAUACAAAAGGUGCAGCAGAAGCACGCCCUUCUCACUUGAACAGCACUAAUAGACCCCUUGUGCAGUAUGCAGGGUUUUGGGGCAGUUCAAUAAGUAAAUAAAACGUACCAUGUG